rnacentral:rRNA from 1 species
UGCCAGCCGCCGCGGUAAUACGGGGGGUGCGAGCGUUAAUCGGAAUUACUGGGCGUAAAGGGUUCGUAGGUGGUUUGUUAAGUUGUAUGUUAAAGCCCUGGGCUUAACCUGGGAAUGCCAUACAAAACUGAUGAACUAGAGUGCAGCAGAGGGCAGGAGAAUUUCCGGUGUAGCGGUGAAAUGCGUAGAGAUCGGAAGGAAUACCAGUGGCGAAGGCGCCUGCCUGGGCUGAGACUGACACUGAGGAACGAAAGCGUGGGUAGCAAACAGGAUUAGAUA